CCCUUAGAGUUUGAUCCUGGCUCAGAGCGAACGCUGGCGGCAGGCCUAAAACAUGCAAGUCGAACGCCGUAGCAAUACGGAGUGGCAGACGGGUGAGUAACACGUGGGAACGUACCCUUUGGUUCGGAACAACACAGGGAAACUUGUGCUAAUACCGAAUAAGCCCUUACGGGGAAAGAUUUAUCGCCAGAGGAUCGGCCCGCGUCUGAUUAGCUAGUUGGUGGGGUAACGGCCCACCAAGGCUACGAUCAGUAGCUGGUCUGAGAGGAUGAUCAGCCACACUGGGACUGAGACACGGCCCAGACUCCUACGGGAGGCGGCAGUUAGGAAUCUUGGACAAUGGGCGCAAGCCUGAUCCAGCCAUGCCGCGUGAGUGAUGAAGGCCUUAGGGUUGUAAAGCUCUUUCAGCGGGGAAGAUAAUGACGGUACCCGCAGAAGAAGCCCCGGCUAACUUCGUGCCAGCAGCCGCGGUAAUACGAAGGGGGCUAGCGUUGCUCGGAAUCACUGGGCGUAAAGCGCACGUAGGCGGCUUUCUAAGUCAGGGGUGAAAUCCUGGAGCUCAACUCCAGAACUGCCUUUGAUACUGGGAAGCUCGAGUCCGGAAGAGGUGAGUGGAACUCCGAGUGUAGAGGUGAAAUUCGUAGAUAUUCGGAAGAACACCAGUGGCGAAGGCGGCUCAC
rnacentral:rRNA from 1 species